AAAACCUUACCAACCCUUGACAUAUUGAAAAAUAAUUUAAAUUAAUAAAUUUUUUAUUAUUGACAUUAAUUAAAAAGUUAAUAGUUUUUCACUACAGGUGUUGCACGACUGUCGUCAGUUCGUGUCGUGAGAUGUUUGGUUCAUUCCUUUAAACGAGCGUAACUCUUGUUUUUAAAAUUUUACUUUUAAUUUUUAAUUUGUAUUAAAAAUUUUGUUUAAAAAGACUGUUUGUUAAUUAAAACUUGAAAGGAAGGUGAGAAUUAAGUCAAGUCACUGUGGCCCUUAUGGGUUGGGCUACACACGUGCUACAAUGAAAAUGACAAAAAGUAACAAAAAAUUUUAGUUAAUCUUUAAAAAUUUUCUUAGUUCGGAUUGUAAACUGCAACUCGUUUACAUGAAGUUGGAAUCACAAGUAA
rnacentral:rRNA from 1 species